UACGAAGGGUGCAAGCGUUAAUCGGAAUUACUGGGCGUAAAGCGUGCGCAGGCGGUUGUGCAAGACCGAUGUGAAAUCCCCGGGCUUAACCUGGGAAUGGCAUUGGUGACUGCACGGCUAGAGUGUGUCAGAGGGGGGUAGAAUUCCACGUGUAGCAGUGAAAUGCGUAGAGAUGUGGAGGAAUACCGAUGGCGAAGGCAGCCCCCUGGGAUAACACUGACGCUCAUGCACGAAAGCGUGGGGAGCAAACAGG
rnacentral:rRNA from 1 species